UAAUACGUAGGGUGCGAGCGUUAAUCGGAAUUACUGGGCGUAAAGCGUGCGCAGGCGGUUUUGUAAGCCAGAUGUGAAAUCCCCGGGCUUAACCUGGGAAUGGCAUUUGGGACUGCAAGGCUGGAGUUUGGCAGAGGAGACUGGAAUUCCUGGUGUAGCAGUGAAAUGCGUAGAUAUCAGGAGGAACACCGAUGGCGAAGGCAGGUCUCUGGGCUGAAACUGACGCUCAUGCACGAAAGCGUGGGGAGCAAACAGGAUUAGAUACCCUGGUAGUCCACGCCCUAAACGAUGUCAACUGGUUGUUGGGUCUUCACUGACUCAGUAACGAAGCUAACGCGUGAAGUUGACCGCCUGGGGAGUACGGCCGCAAGGUUG
rnacentral:rRNA from 1 species